UGCAGCAGGAGUGUGCUAGCCCAAAAAGAACCCCAAGAAGGACACAGCUCUCCAGGUAACAGUGACUGGACAAGAGGACACAGUCUUCAGCUGCACCAAGGGAAGUUUAGGUUGGACAUUAGGAAGAAGCUCUCCACAGAAAGGGUGAAUGGGCAUUGGAAUGGGCUGCCCAGGGAGGUGGUGAAGUCACUGUCCCUGGAGGUGUUUAAGAGAAGACUGGAUGUGGCACUCAGUGUUGUGGUCUUAUUGACAAGGGAUGCUCCAAUAUACAUUGACCUGACCAUCUUCUCCUUCACCCCCAGCAUGCCUGUGCAGAGCAGGAAGGAGGAAUCCAGUGACAGGCAAUUGUCAGUGAUGGCACUGGGCAUCUCAUCUGCCACUGAGUUAUCAGGAGCUGAGAAACACCAGGUGAAAUGCAGAUGAAAUUAAGAUGUAGACAGUGAUUUUCAAUUCAGCUGGCCAGGCACAGAGGUAUAAAGCUAUAAGGUUAUAGUUUGGCUGCCUGAGGUACUUGCAUGGGGCUGGUAGAUGUGGCAAGAGACCUAUGGGACACCUGCCCUCCUUGAGAUGGAUGAAGAUCAGGCAGAACAAUACAGCAUAUUUCAAACUGCAAGAAAUACUUAUUGAUGGAGAACAAAAUUAAAGUCCUCCUCACAAAACAACAUGCAGCAGUUUAACUGAGACUCAGCCCAGUUGUCCAACACAAGUGUCCAGAUCUCUUUAACAUGCUUUUGGUUAUUUGAGGAAGCCCUAAGGGGCUAAAAAAUAUGGCUUGAGCUGGCCCUUGGACACUUAUUUCUAUUUCACCUGCUGGAUUGAGCUCCUGCUGCUUCCUGAAGAGUGCUCUGAAUGCUCUGUUAACUGUAUUGAUUAGAUUGUCAUGAGUUUUGUCUUUAUCACUUGUUUUUAAAGUACUUUCUACAUCCUCAGUGACAUUCACAUUCAAGUUGACCUUUUUAUCCUCUUCCCAUUGUUAGGGAAGGUUCAUAAUUAGACAAAAUAGAAAUCUUUUCUUUGCCCUGCUUAGUCCAAAUAUUAUGCAGGGAGAAUAGG